rnacentral:rRNA from 1 species
CGUAGGGUGCGAGCGUUAAUCGGAAUUACUGGGCGUAAAGCGUGCGCAGGCGGUUAUAUAAGACAGAUGUGAAAUCCCCGGGCUCAACCUGGGAACUGCAUUUGUGACUGUAUAGCUAGAGUACGGCAGAGGGGGAUGGAAUUCCGCGUGUAGCAGUGAAAUGCGUAGAUAUGCGGAGGAACACCGAUGGCGAAGGCAAUCCCCUGGGCCUGUACUGACGCUCAUGCACGAAAGCGUGGGGAGCAAACAGGAUUAGAUACCCUGGUAGUCCACGCCCUAAACGAUGUCAACUGGUUGUUGGGUCUUCACUGACUCAGUAACGAAGCUAACGCGUGAAGUUGACCGCCUGGGGAGAACGGCCGCAAGGUUG